ensembl:lncRNA
AUUCUCAGUCCUUUUCUACUUUAAUUUAAUGCUUCCCUUCAGCAGAUCCUCGGGUAUCUGCUCUGGAGGAGGUGGUUGUUCACUGACCCACCUGAAAGCUCCCAUAGCAGUGGGGUGCUGCUGCAGGAAGAGAGCAAAGGGCAUCGCAUGCACAUCUCCCCCACUAGAAAUCCACUGCAAGAUAAAGAGAUGCAGCAGGGGAUGUUCUGCUGGGCCAGAAGGUCAGCGCUGGAAUCGGAAUCAGCAAUCACAUGUUCUGAAUGCAAAGCAAAGGGCUCCUCCAGCGCUUCUGAGCUUUGUGUGCCGACGAGGCAGAGCCACGAGGUGUUUGGGGGGGGGAAAUCCUUAACCCGUAACCCCCAGCAGCCCGCAGUUGCGCAAGAAACAUGGGGAGGGGGCCACGCGAUUCCCCCCGCCCCGUAACAUCCGCGCCCACCCCUCUCGUGCUGGGGGCGGAGGGAUGAAUGGAGGGAGGGCAGGAGGGUGCUCCUCCUCACCCCCUCCCCUUCUCUCCCCCUUGUCCCCCUUCCCCCCACCCCUCCCUGGGGGUCCCGUAGCUGCGGGGCGGAGCGGAGCGGGGCGGUGCGGGGCCGGGUGCGGAGCCGGGACCGGGCGCACGAUGCGCUGCGGGGCGCUGGUUCUGGCGCUGCUCUGCGCUUUGCCCCUGGGAGCGACGGGGCUGGAGCUUCCCGAAACGGGCUCAGGGCUGCAGGAAGAUGAAGUGAACCUGCUGGAUAAAAUGACUUCCCAUGCACAGGACCUCAGCAAUGUUUCCUUCAGCUCCGAUGAGGCCAAUUGCAGCACACUGCAGAUCGGGCAGUACUCCACCCUCAGCAUUCCAACACAGGAGGUGUUUGGGGACAGGUUUGCAGACGAGCUGAGUGUGCUGAUGAAGCUCAGGUACUCAUUACAGGAGGACACCAGCCUGGUGACCAUCCUGAGCCAUCGGAGCCAUGUGCUCUUCCAGAUCCGGGUUAGCCCAUAUGGCUUGAUCUUUGUCACCACAAGGAGGAGACACUAUGAGUUCCCUGUUUCCCUGCUCAGUGAUGGGCGCUGGCAUAGAGUUGCUCUCAGCAUCUCCCAGGAGAGCCUGGAGCUGUAUGUGGAUUGUCGGCUGGUGGAGAGAGCCAGCUGGCCUGGCUACCUGGGGAUGGGUGUGAGCACCGAGGGGCUGCUCGUCAUCGGAGGUCUGGUGGAGUCCUUUGAGAUCCCCUUUGAGGGUGCUCUGCAGCAGCUGACCUUUGUGAUGGGGGAUGCAGCAGCAGCUGGUGAGCAUUGCCACAACCACGCUGUGAUAUGUGCACGCUCCUCUGGCAUCAGUCCUCCUCCAAGGGACCACUCUGCAACAAGGCCAGAGGUACCAAAAGAAACCAAUGAGAUCCAGGGGUCAUCAACUCAGGAUUCCAAACACCCCCAUUCAGAUUUGACCUUGGGCCCACAUUGGACAUGGAAGGGUGCCCAGGAGACCCUUAGCCUGCAUCCAGAUGGGAACGCCCGGACUUUGUUCUCUGCUGCUGAGGUGCCAACAUCUGAAGAGCAGGAGGAAGAAGAGGGAAGCCUUUCUAUUGAGGAUGAAGGCUUUGAGCUGUUGAACUUCACCUAUAAUAAAAUCACUGGCCCUGGCAGGCCAGGAAUCAGCAGGAGCAGACCACGGAUCAUUGGCAUCCCCGGGCCAUCAGCCAAGAAAGAACAAGCCUCUGACCCUGGGCAGGAGGAUAAUGUCACCACGGAGAAGCUGAAGGGCAAUGCAGACACCCACCUUCACCUCCCACCCAUCAAACCUGGCGGUGCCACCAAGCCCAUUGCCUCCUCCAAAGUGUCCCCAUUGAGACACCAGGCAGCUGCACCCAAGGGUUCCUCAGGGGUGGUUGCAGGGCAUCCAGAGCAUCCUCACACCCCCCUGGGUCACCCCAUCUUGCCAUCAGUACGUGGAUAUUGGGCUCAUGUGAAGCCAGGACCCCCAGGGCUGCCGGGACCUCCAGGGCUGCCAGGAUGCCCUGGGAGACGUGGACUUGUGGGCCCCAAAGGAGACAAAGGUCACGCUGGAGCCAUGGGGCGGAUGGGACCCCCAGGUGACCCAGGUCCUAUGGGCAUCCCUGGCAUCCCCACUGUUGUUCUAUGGAGGAACUCCCGUGAGGACUGGCUGAGCUUCACGCAAUCAUCCUUUUACCAGCUGCUGCACUCUGGCUGGCCGAGAAAACCCGGAGCCCCCGGCCCUCCAGGGCACCCAGGGAAAGCAGGCAUGCCGGUAAGCACAGCCACCUCCAGGUGUCCCUGCCUUCCUGUGGGCACUUUGUGUUCCUAAGCAACCCCAGGCUCCCUCAAAAUCAGCUGUAAUUCAAGGCCAUGGGAUUCCAGCCUAGGGGGUUGCUUGUUGGUGGUCCACUGAUGGACAGGUGAUGUCUCAGCUUCAUUAUAUGUCCCCACCCCCCCCUGCCAGCCCCUAGUGCUGCAGAUCUGGUUCUUGGAUGCAAAUCCAUCCUUGGAUGUGAUUUCCAAAGCUCUCUGUGCAUCGUUCCUUGUUUUCCAUGUAACCAUACCUACGAGGCCACGGCGUAUCUCAGUUCUGCACUGUAACCCGAGGGCACAGCCAAAUUGUGUUGACUCUAUUUGUGUUUGCACACAGGGGCUGUGUGGAGAGCCGGGAGAGCCGGGGCAGAAGGGCCAUCGGGGGUACAUGGUAAGUGCCACCCAUCCUAUGACUAGGGAUGCUCAAAUACAGGAUGGGAUGGAGGGUGUGGGGCUGGUGCCUGUGUUGGACCUUCACAGCUCCAAAAGCUGGUGGAGAAAUUUAGAGUUUAAAAUCCUGAGCAAGAAAUGGAGCCACACCACAGAGCUGUGCUGAGCGUCCUGUUGGGCAUGUGGUGGC